rnacentral:tRNA from 1 species
GGAUCGGUGGCUGAGUGGUCGAAAGCACACCUUUGCUAAAGGUGCGUGCCUCACAAGGGCACCGAGGGUUCGAAUCCCUCCCGGUCCG